rnacentral:rRNA from 1 species
AGUCGAGCGGAUUGAUGGGAGCUUGCUCCCGUCAGUCAGCGGCGGACGGGUGAGUAACACGUGGGUAACCUGCCUGUAAGACUGGGAUAACUCCGGGAAACCGGGGCUAAUACCGGAUAACUCAUUUCCUCGCAUGAGGAAAUGUUGAAAGGUGGCUUUUAGCUAUCACUUACAGAUGGACCCGCGGCGCAUUAGCUAGUUGGUGAGGUAACGGCUCACCAAGGCGACGAUGCGUAGCCGACCUGAGAGGGUGAUCGGCCACACUGGGACUGAGACACGGCCCAGACUCCUACGGGAGGCAGCAGUAGGGAAUCUUCCGCAAUGGACGAAAGUCUGACGGAGCAACGCCGCGUGAGUGAUGAAGGUUUUCGGAUCGUAAAACUCUGUUGUUAGGGAAGAACAAGUACCGUUCGAAUAGGGCGGUACCUUGACGGUACCUAACCAGAAAGCCACGGCUAACUACGUGCCAGCAGCCGCGGUAAUACGUAGGUGGCAAGCGUUGUCCGGAAUUAUUGGGCGUAAAGCGCGCGCAGGUGGUUCCUUAAGUCUGAUGUGAAAGCCCACGGCUCAACCGUGGAGGGUCAUU